UACAGAGGGUGCAAGCGUUGUUCGGAAUUACUGGGCGUAAAGCGCGUGUAGGCUGCAAUGUAAGUCGGAUGUGAAAGCCCUCAGCUUAACUGAGGAAGUGCAUCUGAUACUGCAUCGCUUGAGUGUCGGAGGGGAUGGCGGAAUUCCCGGUGUAGAGGUGAAAUUCGUAGAUAUCGGGAGGAACACCUGUGGCGAAGGCGGCCAUCUGGACGACGACUGACGCUGAGACGCGAAAGCGUGGGUAGCAGACAGG
rnacentral:rRNA from 1 species